rnacentral:rRNA from 1 species
CACGUAGGGCGCGAACGUUAUCCGGAAUUAUUGGGCGUAAAGGGUGCGUAGGCGGCGCGGAUAGUCGGCGGUGAAAGCCCGGAGCUCAACUCCGGGUCGGCCGUCGAUACUUCCGGGCUUGAGCACUGUAGAGGCAGAUGGAAUUCCGGGUGUAGCGGUGGAAUGCGUAGAGAUCCGGAAGAACACCGGUGGCGAAGGCGGUCUGCUGGGCAGUUGCUGACGCUGAGGCACGAAGGCCAGGGGAGCAAACGGG